GUAGGUGGCAAGCGUUGUCCGGAAUUAUUGGGCGUAAAGCGCGCGCAGGUGGUUCUUUAAGUCUGAUGUGAAAGCCCCCGGCUCAACCGGGGAGGGUCAUUGGAAACUGGGGAACUUGAGUGCAGGAGAGGAAAGUGGAAUUCCACGUGUAGCGGUGAAAUGCGUAGAUAUGUGGAGGAACACCAGUGGCGAAGGCGACUUUCUGGCCUGUAACCGACACUGAGGCGCGAAAGCGUGGGGAGCAAACAGGGAUUAGAUACCCUGGUAGUCCACGCCGUAAACGAUGAGUGCUAAGUGUUGGGGGGGUUUCCCGCCCCUCAGUGCUGCAGCUAACGCAUUAAGCACUCCGCCUGGGGAGUACGGUCGCAAGACUG
rnacentral:rRNA from 1 species